CUACCCUGGAGCCCUGCUCUGUGAUGGGCCCCGUCCUCGCGGACGGGCCCGAAACCCGUGGGCGCCGUCGUCCGGUCCCGAGCGUAGCAAGAGAAAUCCCUCGCUCGGAGCGCCGGCCGGUGGCCGCCCCGACCCAUCUUAACAA
rnacentral:misc_RNA from 1 species